rnacentral:tRNA from 1 species
GGCUCCGUAGCUCAAAUUGGCAGAGCAGUAGACUCUUAAUCUAUUGGUUGAAGGUUCGAGUCCUUCCGGAGUCA